GCCUGGGUGGCUCAGUCGGUUAAGCGUCUGACUUCGGCUCAGGUCAUGAUCUCGCGGUCUGUGAGUUCGAGCCCCGCGUCGGGCU
rnacentral:tRNA from 1 species